UAUAUCUAUAUACAAAUCAAUUGAGCAAUGUAUAUCUAUAAACAAUUCAAAUUCGACAAUGUAUAUCUAUAAACAAAUCAAUUUCGUCAAUGUAUAUCUAUAAAGAAAUCAAAUUCAGCAAUGUAUAUCUUUAUACAAAUCAAUUCGGCAAUGUAUAAAACAUAUACAUUUAAAUUCAAAAACAUUUAUUUACUUAUGAACUUACCUCGUACUCGGAAUUGACGAAUCUGAUCGAUUACUCGAUAAUUUUGCCUUUCCCGUGAUCUAAUUUUGGAUUCCUCUUUUCUUGAGUGUUAUGUAUUCAAAAUUAACUCAUUUAAUCAUAUAAUCAUUCAAUUCAGUCCAAAAGCACAUAUUUAAGCCAAUUUACACUUUGGCCCUAAACUUUCACAUUUCUUACAAUUUAGUCCCUAUUUCACAAAUACACAAAAUUCAUAAAAUUCAACAAGACCCAUGCUUGAUCGAAUUACCAUAGUGCCCCUAGUAGCCCAUAUUUCACACUUAUUCACACUUUUAACCCCACAUUUUCAUCUUUUCACAAUUUAAUCCCUAACUUGCAUUUUCAUCAAAAAAAUAACUUUAUAAAAUAUGAAAAUCUAACAUCAAAUAUUCAUAUUUCACCAUUAAAAAUCAAAGAACACAUAAGCUUAUCAAUGUCAACUAUCAAAAUCUUUAACAGUUUUGAAAUUGAAGACACGGGCUAGCUAGUACUAGUUGUAAUGAUCUCAAAAACAUAGAAAUCAUUAAAAAUCGAGUAAAAAUGCACUUACAUGCACUAGAAAUGUUGGCUGAAUGCUUUAAGCCCUAACUAUGGCUUCCUAACCUUCAAAUUUCGGUAGUGUUUAGCUUUUGGGAAUAUGAUACUUUAAUUUUACUUAUUUUAAUUUUAAGUUGUUUGGUUAUUUACUAAUUUAACCUUAACAUAUAACCUUUAUAAUUUCAUUUUACUGGCCAUAAAAGUCCACUAGCAAUUUGUAUGGUCUAAUUGCAACAUAAAACUCUCAACCAUUUAAUCACAUUGUCAUUUAAUAUCUUUAACUAAUAGAACUUAAGUUUUGCACUUUACGCGAUUUAGUCCUUUUUAUUGAAUUAAGCAUGCAAAGGAUAAAGGCGGAGGUUUUUGGGUGUUUGGAAGGGUUUGAGUUUGAGGAAGUCCCUACCCAUCUUCUCAUAUAUUAUUUAUUUAUUUAUUUAUUUAUUUAAAGUAUAUAUUUUUACAUCCUAUCAACUCUUAUUUUUUGUGGGAAAUCUUGUGUGUUACAUGGUUAUUAGUUAAAGAGAGUGGUGAAUCUUCUAAAUUUAAAGGUAAAGGCAAAGUGGUGGAGAGCUAGGCAACAAACUUUGUUGGCGUUCUUCCAUCAAGGUGGUACCCUCUAACUCUCCUAUACUUCUUGAUAAGUCAUAAAUAUGAUGCCUGUGUAAUAAUGCAUACAUGUUAUAUGUCUUUGGGUGGAAAUCUUGUUUGGAUGAUUUAAAAUGAAGCUAAAAACUUAGUUGUGAAAUUUGCUAGAAACAAAUCAUUACAUGAACAGUAUGUUUGAAAAUUCACCAUAAAUUUUGAAAAAAUAAUUAAGAAGUGAUCUACACAUCGUUGUAACCGUGAGUCAUUCUAGUUUCGUUUAGAAUAAACGGAGAUCAAUUUUGAUUUUUAUUUUAAAAGAUAUGAAUUUUUGAGUGUUGAAAGAUCAUAAAAAUAUGGCAGCAGAAUUCUUAUAAAACAGAUUUAGCAGUGACUUUGAAAACUCACCAAAAAUUUCACAAGAUAAAAUAAGAAGUGAUCCUUAUAUCUUUUUAACCGUACAGAAGUAUAGUUUCGUUUAAACCAAAAGGUGCUCAAUUUAGAGUUAUAUAUUAAGAGUUAUUAAUUUUUGAAUGAGAAAAUGUCAGAAUGUCAAGGUAGCAGACUGUCACAUCUCAUUAGUUAAUAUUUUAUUUUGAACGAUAAGCAAGUUGAAAUGAGUAUGAGACUCGAAUGUCAUGGUUGUAUUUUUGUGAUUAUAUGUUUGAUGCUUUGUUUGCACUCAACCUUCAGGCUCUAACCUAACUAGCGGCCAUGAGUGGCCUUCGGGAUAGCCCUACAGACACCUGUGAUUAUUUGACUAGCGGUCAUGGGUGGUGAGAGACUACUUGAAUACUCGAUUAUUUGAGCAGUAUGUGCAAUCUAACAAGUUUGACAAGUUUGAUAUGCAAGCGAUUUGGUUAUGUAGAUUUAAUGACUCAUGAUUUAAUUAUUCGAUACUCAUGUCAUGUUUUUAUGUAUACAUUUGAUUUGCAUGCUUAUAUUUAUGAAUUGCUUGAAGUAUGGUAGAUUUGUUGUGUACCACUGAGCCUGUAAAGCUCAGCUUUCGAAUUUUCUUAUUGUUCAGAUUUGUAAACUUUUGUUCAUGUCCGAGGAACAUCAUCGACGAGAGACUCCUAGUAUCACGUUUUCAGAAUUCAAUAUGCCCGACGAUUCAAAUUGUAGCCAUGAGGUUAGGGAGAAGAGUCAUGCUUCUCCGAUGGAUGAUACGGGAGAUGAGUUUGUCCCAAAAAUUGACGACUUUGACAUUCCAAUGGUUCCGGACGUGGAUGGGUAGCUUACUUCCAGAAUCUUAAUUUUUCUCUACAUCGUAUCCUUCGAGCAAUUUCGAGGGUUCAGCCUACCCCACCAGCUUCACCACCAUUUGUUGUUCCGCAGGAGACUCCGAUAGAGAGAUUUCAUAGAUGUAAGGCGGAGGACUUUUAUAGCACCAGCGAGGAUGACCCGAUAGUUGUUGGUUAGUGGUUGAGGGACACACUAAGGACUUUGAGGCCACUCCAUUUUACCCCUGAGGGUAACUUAGAGUGAUGCAUGUGAUUUGUGGGAGACGGUCGAGAUGGCUUUACAGCCAGAGCAGCCAACGUGGGAUCAAUUGUUGUCCGAGCUGAGGGAAGCACAUUGGUCAGGCACAUAUGGAUGACUUGAAGAUGCAGUUUUCACAGCUAGUCCAGGGCAACCGAUUAGUGUAUGAGUACGAUAGGGACUUUCUGUGAUUGAGUCACUUCGCAGUGGCUUCUGAGAGUCUUAGAUGCAAGAGAUUUCGUGAGGGGCUGCACAUUGAUAUUCACAGUUAUUUGGCAGCAGACCUGCUCGAGGGAUUUUUAGAAUUGGUACGACAAGCUAAAGCUGUAGAGAAGGUUCUAAGUAUGAGAUUGAGCUCGACAGAUGAGUCUAGUAUCCAGAGUAAGAGGGCUUCUAACACUCCGAGUCUGUCUCAGAUAGCAACCAAGAGGAUUCGUGAUUCUAGAGGAUUCAAGAGAGCUCCAUCGACACAGUUUCACAGGUCAGGUCAAGGGUCAAGACUAGGGGCUCGUAGGAGACCAUUAGCUUCCUCGUCGCUAGCGAGUUUAGGAGGGCCAGUCAGGACCCUGAUUUUUCUAGUUUGUAAUUUUUGUGGUCGGAGACAUCUCGGGGAGUGUUAUCGGAGGACUAGAGCCUGUUUUCAGUAUGGGUCCACCAAGCAUUUUGUCAGAGAUUGCCUUAGAGUUAGCAAUGCUUCGCCUGCUCAGACUUAGAGAUCAACACCUUCUUUUGAACGUGGUAGAGGGUCAACUCAUGGUGGUGAUAAUGUACCUUCAGGCCAGCAGAGUAGAGGCACGGUCAAAUCCGCAAUAGUAUCUGAUAUUCGAGUUCCAUUUAGGCAGUGUGAAUUGACUUCUGAUUCAGAAUUUCAGAUUAGACCUAAUGACUGCCUAUUAUUCAGAGGCAGGGUUUGUGUUCCAAAGAAUUCGGAGCUUGUACAGAAGAUUUUGAACGAAGCUCACAGUGGUACUAUGUUUGUGCAUGCAGGGAGUAAUAAAAUGUAUAAUGAUCUGAAACAGAUGUACUGGUGGCUGGGAAUGAAACAUGACAUUUCUGACUUUGUAUUUAGAUGUUUGGUAUGUCAACAAGUUAAAGCUGAACAUCAGGUUCCUUCAACAUUAUGACAACCAGUCACGAUAUCAGAAUGAAAAUGGUAAAGAAUUACUAUGGACUUUGUAUCGGGAUUGCCUCUAUCUCUGAGAAAGAAAGAUGCCAUUUAGGUAAUCGUUGAUCGUUUGACAAAGUCUACACACUUUAUUUCGGUACGUAUGAAUUUUCCCUGGAUAGAUUAACAAAACUAUAUGCUUCUGAGAUUGUCAGAUUACAUGGUGUGCUAGUUUUUAGUAUUUUUGAUAGAGAUCCUCGAUUUACAUCCGAUUCUAGAGCAAGUUACAAGAAGCUCUGGGUUCACGGUUGCAUAUUACUACCGCAUUUCAUCCGCAGACAGAUGGUCAAUCCAAAUGCAUAAUCCAAAUUCUUGAAGAUAUGCUUCGGUGUUGUGUACUAGAAUUCGAAGGCAAUUGGGAAAAAUAUCUACCGUUAGUUGAAUUCGCAUAUAAUAACAGUUAUCAGUCAAGUAAUAAAAUAGUACCGUAUGAAGCUUUGUAUGGUCGUAAAUGUAGAACUCCGUUGUAUUGGACUGAGCUCAAUGAGAAAAAGAUACAUGGAAUUGAUCAAAUCCGUGAGACUGAAGAAAAAGUGAAAGUGAUCAGAGACAGUUUGAAAGCAGCUUCUAAGUGUCAGAAAUCCUAUGUGAAUUUAAAACUUAAAGAAAUAGAGUUCCAAGUUGGUGACAAAGUAUUUCUGAAAGUUUCACCUUUGAAGAAAGUUUUCGGUUUGGCCAUAAAGGAAAAUUUAGUCCACGAUUUAUCAGGCCAUAUGAGAUCAUUGAAAGAAUCAGACCUGUUGCAUACUGAUUGGCAUUACCACCAGAACUUGACAGAAUUCAUAAUUUUUUUCAUGUGUCCAUGUUAUGGCGAUAUCAGUCAGAUCCUUCACAUAUUAUCUCUCCGACAGAGGUUGAGAUUCAGCCUGAUAUGACUUACAACGAGGAACCAGUUAGAAUUUUGGACGUGAGACUAAGGAAUUAAGAAAUAAAAAGAUAACUCUAGUAAAAGUUCUUUGGCAACGACACGGUAUAGAAGAAGCUACCUGGGAACUGGAGGAAACUAUGAGAAAGCAAUAGUUGAACCUCUUUACUGGUAAUAUUUUCAAGGACGAAAAUUCUUAAGGGGGAGAGUUGUAACAGCCCGUUUUCAAUGAAAUCAGAACAGUGUUUCGGGACCACAAAUCCGAGUCCGAAAGAAAAUUUAUUUUAAUAUUAUUUUAUGAUCUACAUUAUGAUUGAAAUAUUUCAUGAAAAUUUUGUAAAUAAAUUUUACUGAUUUUAUAUCUAAUCCGAUAAAAAGGACCAAAUUGAAUAAAAUACAAAAGUUGAGUUCUACUAGCUAAAAGUAUCAAAUAGCUAUGGAAUUCAAAAUUUGAGGUCCUUAUAUGGAAA